AUUUCCGUUGCCAACUUCAGAUUGAGAGGCAGAUUUCCUUGGAGCUCAGGUAUUUCCAAGGUUUAAAUAGCUUCAAAUCGAUUUCUCCAUGAUUCUUUGUGGUAACCCCUGAAUUUGGUGAUGGGACCUGUGUUUUAUGAGAGGUUUUCCGAUGCCAAUUAACUUGAUGGGACCUGUGUUUUUGUUCAGUCUGGGAUUGUUUCAUCAGUUCAUUGUAGAACAGGGAUGUUAGAUUUUUAUUUUUUUACCUGUAUUCUUUUAUUUUUAAAAAAUAAAAUUGGUGUGUGAAUUUUGUAUAUAGGAAAGAGCAUAUAGAAACAGAUGUUUGCAUUUGGAUUGUUGUCAGUAAGAAUCGAUUGGUGUGGUAAAUAAUAUUAUAUAUACUUUGUGCUGCA
rnacentral:lncRNA from 1 species